rnacentral:rRNA from 1 species
UACGAAGGGGGCUAGCGUUGCUCGGAAUUACUGGGCGUAAAGCGCACGUAGGCGGCUCUUUAAGUCGGGGGUGAAAUCCUGGAGCUCAACUCCAGAGCUGCCUUCGAUACUGUAGAGCUUGAGUUCGGGAGAGGUGAGUGGAACUGCGAGUGUAGAGGUGAAAUUCGUAGAUAUUCGCAAGAACACCAGUGGCGAAGGCGGCUCACUGGCCCGAUACUGACGCUGAGGUGCGAAAGCGUGGGGUGCAAACAGG